CGGCAUCUGAUACUGUUAGGCUAGAGUAGGUGAGAGGAAGGUAGAAUUCCAGGUGUAGCGGUGAAAUGCGUAGAGAUCUGGAGGAAUACCGAUGGCGAAGGCAGCCUUCUGGCAUCAUACUGACACUGAGGUUCGAAAGCGUGGGUAGCAAACAGGAUUAGAUACCCUGGUAGUCCACGCCGUAAACGAUGUCUACUAGUCGUUGGGUCCCUUGAGGACUUAGUGACGCAGCUAACGCAAUAAGUAGACCGCCUGGGGAGUACGGCCGCAAGGUUAAAACUCAAAUGAAUUGACGGGGGCCCGCACAAGCGGUGGAGCAUGUGGUUUAAUUCGAUGCAACGCGAAGAACCUUACCUGGUCUUGACAUAUCUAGAAUCCUGCAGAGAUGCGGGAGUGCCUUCGGGAAUUAGAAUACAGGUGCUGCAUGGCUGUCGUCAGCUCGUGUCGUGAGAUGUUGGGUUAAGUCCCGCAACGAGCGCAACCCUUGUCCUUAGUUACCAGCGGUUUGGCCGGGAACUCUAAGGAUACUGCCAGUGACAAACUGGAGGAAGGCGGGGACGACGUCAAGUCAUCAUGGCCCUUACGACCAGGGCUACACACGUGCUACAAUGGUAGGUACAGAGGGCAGCUACACAGCGAUGUGAUGCGAAUCUCAAAAAGCCUAUCGUAGUCCAGAUUGGAGUCUGCAACUCGACUCCAUGAAGUAGGAAUCGCUAGUAAUCGCGGAUCAGAAUGCCGCGGUGAAUACGUUCCCGGGCCUUGUACACACCGCCCGUCACACCAUGGGAGUUGAUUGCACCAGAAGUGGGUAGCCUAACCUUUUAGGAUGGCGCUC
rnacentral:rRNA from 1 species